AGAGUUUGAUCCUGGCUCAGAANCAACGCUGGCGGCGUGCCUCAGACAUGCAAGUCGAACGCGAAAGUUUCCUUCGGGAGAUGAGUAGAGUGGCGCACGGGUGAGUAACACGUAGGUAAUCUACCUUCGGGUGGGGAAUAACCCAGGGAAACUUGGGCUAAUACCGCAUAAUGCAGCGGCACCACAUGGUGACAGUUGUUAAAGCGGGGGAUCUUCGGAUCUCGCGCCUGAAGAGGAGCCUGCGGCAGAUUAGCUAGUUGGUAAGGUAACGGCUUACCAAGGCGACGAUCUGUAGCCGGCCUGAGAGGGCGGUCGGCCACACUGACACUGACAUACGGGUCAGACUCCUACGGGAGGCAGCAGUCGGGAAUUUUGGGCAAUGGGCGAAAGCCUGACCCAGCAACGCCGCGUGAAGGAUGAAAUCCCUCGGGAUGUAAACUUCGCAAGAAUAGGAAGAAUUAGUAGGGGCUAAUACCCCCUAUGAUGACGGUACUAUUUGUAAGCUCCGGCUAACUCCGUGCCAGCAGCCGCGGUAAUACGGGGGGAGCAAGCGUUGUUCGGAUUUACUGGGCGUAAAGGGCGCGUAGGCGGUCAGCACAAGUCAGUUGUGAAAUCUCCGGGCUUAACUCGGAAAGGUCAACUGAUACUGUGCGACUAGAGUGCGGAAGGGGCAACUGGAAUUCUCGGUGUAGCGGUGAAAUGCGUAGAUAUCGAGAGGAACACCUGCGGCGAAGGCGGGUUGCUGGGCCG
rnacentral:rRNA from 1 species